rnacentral:misc_RNA from 1 species
CGCUCUGCUAUCUUGCAUCUUUGAAGUGCUUCCAUGACUUGAUUGGCAGGGACUUGAAGCCAAGUUCUACAGUAGUGUAAGCCAACCAAGUUCAGCAGCUCACUAAGUUGGGGUCUGAAAAGCACCAUUUGAGCAUCUAUAAAACUAAGCUUCAAAUCCCACAAGCCACCAAUUGUCCUGAGAUAGUCUCCACCCUCGAUCGGAGUAGAAGGAGAGCAUUGUUCUAUAAACUUUACCGCGG